AUUGAACGCUGGCGGCAGGCCUAACACAUGCAAGUCGAGCGGAUGAAGGGAGCUUGCUCCUGGAUUCAGCGGCGGACGGGUGAGUAAUGCCUAGGAAUCUGCCUGGUAGUGGGGGAUAACGUCCGGAAACGGGCGCUAAUACCGCAUACGUCCUGAGGGAGAAAGUGGGGGAUCUUCGGACCUCACGCUAUCAGAUGAGCCUAGGUCGGAUUAGCUAGUUGGUGGGGUAAAGGCCUACCAAGGCGACGAUCCGUAACUGGUCUGAGAGGAUGAUCAGUCACACUGGAACUGAGACACGGUCCAGACUCCUACGGGAGGCAGCAGUGGGGAAUAUUGGACAAUGGGCGAAAGCCUGAUCCAGCCAUGCCGCGUGUGUGAAGAGGGUCUUCGGAUUGUAAAGCACUUUAAGUUGGGAGGAAGGGCAGUAAGUUAAUACCUUGCUGUUUUGGCGUUACCAACAGAAUAAGCACCGGCUAACUUCGUG
rnacentral:rRNA from 1 species